CCAAAUAUCUAAACGGAGAAAUUCAAUAUUACCCCGAUUUUUUGGUCAGCGUAAUGUGCACUUUUCUCUUAGUAAGACGCCGUGAUCCAUUAGAAAUUGGUACACGCCAAGUGUGCAGUGGGUCAUCAAUAGGCCGAUGCGAAGUUUAUUCGGAACAAAUGGCACAAUCAUUUUAACGGUCGUGUGUAUUGUCUGGUAAGCGCGUCGUGUCCUGCAAUGACUGUCUGAUGGAUUUUAAAGACUGCAUUAUCAACGAUGUUACGGCAUCGCAUAUGCUACUUCUUGUGGUGUGUGUUGUGAUACGUGUCUGAUCGACGGCGGUUAAAUUUGGGAUACCUUUUGGACCCGUCUUGAAACACGGACCAAGGAGUCUAUCUAGUAUGCGAGUAAAUGGAUAGUUGAUGAAAUCUAUUUGCAUAAUAAACGUGACUGUAUUAUUGUGGGAUUACAACUUGAUGACAUGCGCAAGUGUGUCACUUGUUUUCCAUCCCGGGGUAUUUUCGCCAACAUAUGUGCGCAAGUUCAUAUGGAAAAUAUACCAUGAGCACACUGGAUACGACCCGAAAGAUGGUGAACUAUGCCUGAUCAGGUCGAAGUCAGGGGAAACCCUGAUGGAGGACCGAAGCAGUUCUGACGUGCAAAUCGAUUGUCAGAAUUGGGCAUAGGGGCGAAAGACCAAUCGAACCAUC
rnacentral:rRNA from 1 species